rnacentral:tRNA from 1 species
AAAAAGAUAAGCUAAAAAAGCUAUUAGACUCAUGCCCUAAUUAUGAAACAAUAUUUCUCUUUUUA